rnacentral:rRNA from 1 species
UACGUAGGUCGCAAGCGUUGUCCGGAUUUAUUGGGCGUAAAGAGCGUGUAGGCGGCCAAACAGGUCCGUUGUGAAAACUAGAGGCUCAACCUCUAGACGUCGACCGAAACCAUCUGGCUAGAGUCCGGAAGAGGAGAGUGGAAUUCCUGGUGUAGCGGUGAAAUGCGCAGAUAUCAGGAAGAACACCCGUGGCGAAGGCGGCUCUCUGGGACGGUACUGACGCUGAGACGCGAAAGCGUGGGGAGCGAACAGG